rnacentral:rRNA from 1 species
AACGAACGCUGGCGGCAGGCUUAACACAUGCAAGUCGAGCGCCCCGCAAGGGGAGCGGCAGACGGGUGAGUAACGCGUGGGAAUCUACCCAUCUCUACGGAAUAACGCAUGGAAACGUGUGCUAAUACCGUGUACGUCCUUCGGGAGAAAGAUUUAUCGGAGAUGGAUGAGCCCGCGUUGGAUUAGCUAGUUGGUGGGGUAAAGGCCUACCAAGGCGACGAUCCAUAGCUGGUCUGAGAGGAUGAUCAGCCACACUGGGACUGAGACACGGCCCAGACUCCUACGGGAGGCAGCAGUGGGGAAUAUUGGACAAUGGGCGAAAGCCUGAUCCAGCCAUGCCGCGUGAGUGAUGAAGGCCCUAGGGUUGUAAAGCUCUUUCACCGGUGAAGAUAAUGACGGUAACCGGAGAAGAAGCCCCGGCUAACUUCGUGCCAGCCGCCGCGGUAAUAC